rnacentral:rRNA from 1 species
CGGGGGUGCGGCAGCUAGACUGCAGUGGACGCUGGUUGUCGGGUAGCAAUAUCCGGCGACCGGAGUCGCGGACGGGUGAGUAACACGUGGGUAACCUGCCUCGUAGUGGGGGAUAACUCGCCGAAAGGCGAGCUAAUACCGCAUACGACUACCGGUGAGAGUCCGGAUAGUCAAAGCUCCGGCGCUACGAGAGGGGCCCGCGGCCGAUUAGCUAGUUGGUGGGGUAAUGGCUCACCAAGGCGACGAUCGGUAGCUGGUCUGAGAGGAUGGUCAGCCACACGGGGACUGAGACACGGCCCCGACUCCUACGGGAGGCAGCAGCUAAGAAUCUUGCGCAAUGGGCGAAAGCCUGACGCAGCAAUUCCGCGUGAGGGACGAAGGCCUUCGGGUUGUAAACCUCUUUUGCGAGGGAAGAAGUUCUGACGGUACCUCGCGAAUAAGCCACGGCUAACUACGUGCCAGCAGCCGCGGUAAUACGUAGGUGGCGAGCGUUGUCCGGAUUUACUGGACGUAAAGCGCCCGCAGGCGGCUCGGCAAGUUUCAGGUGAAAUCUCCCGGCUCAACUGGGAGGGGUCCUGGAAAACCGCUGGGCUCGAGGCAGGGAGAGGGAUGUGGAAUUCCCGGUGUAGUGGUGAAAUGCGUAGAUAUCGGGAGGAACACCAGUGGCGAAGGCGGCAUCCUGGCCCUGUCCUGACGCUGAGGGGCGAAAGCGUGGGGAGCAAACCGGAUUAGAUACCCUGGAAGUCCACGCC